GCUGGGUGUGGUGGCACAUGCCUGUAGUCCCAGCUACUCAGGAGGCUGAGGCUGGUGGAUCACUUGAGCCCAGGAGUUCUGGGCUGUAGUGCGCUAUGCCGACCAGAUGUCCGCACUAAGUUUGGCAUCAAUAUGGUGACCUCCCGGGAGCGGGGGACCACCAGGUUGUCUAGGGAGGAGUGAACUGGCCCAGGUCAGAAAUGGAGCAGGUCAAAACUCCCGUGCUGAUCAGUAGUGGGAUCGUGCCUGUGAACAGCCACUGCACUCCAGCCUAGCCAAUAUAGCAAGACCCCGUCUCUU
ensembl:misc_RNA Metazoa_SRP Metazoan signal recognition particle RNA